UUACGGCUAUACCACGAUGAAACACAGGUUCUCGUACAAUAACCAAUGUUAAGCAACGUCGAGCUUGAUCAGUACCUAUAUGGGUGACCUCUUAGGAAUACCAGGUAAUGUAAG